AUAUUUACAUCGUUGUCCGAUGACUAUAUUAAAGAUUAGGUACUUUUGAUCAAAAUCUUUUAAGGAUAUUUAAAAAGCGGAAUUAGAUUAACUUAAGCCUACAAUCUUUAGCUGAUUUGAGAGAAGAAUCAGCCACAAAGGGGAUGAGAACAACCCUUCACUCCACGCAGCAGUGAGGAAUAUUGGGCAAUAUGCGAAAGCGUGACCCAGCGAACUGAUGGUAAUGAAGAAGACUAAUUUUUAUAGUUGUAAAGUUUUUACGCGAAUUUGAAAAAUGAUCGAAUUUGAAGAGAAGCCAUGGCCAAUACAUGUGCCAGCAGCCGCGGUAAUACAUGAGUGGCAAGCGUUAUCCGUAAUAAUUGGGCGUAAAGGAUGUGUAGGCGGUGGGAGUAGUUAUAAUGCACUAUAAUGGUUUACCAGGUGUUGUUAUAAUACCUUUCUACUAGAGUUGGAAAAAUGUACAUUACAUUUAUAGGCUAGUGAUAAAAUACUGUGAGUUUAUAGGUAGAUUCAAUGGUGAAGACAAUAUACUAUUCUCAACUGACGCUGAAACAUGAAAGCACGGGUAUCGAAAAGGAUUAGACACCCUAUUAGUCCGAGCACUAAACGAUGAGUAUUAAACAAAAUGUUUAAGUUAACGCGAAAAAUACUCCGCCUGGGCAGUACAGUCGCAAGGUUGAAACUUAACAGAAUUGGCGGGAAUUUGUUCAAACGGUGGAACAUGUGGUUUAAUGCGAUAAUCCGCGUAAAAUCUUACCAAGGUGAUUUGUAAUUAUAUUUUUGUAGUUAACAUUAUAAAAAUGGUUAUCAAUGUGGUACUGCAUGGCUGUCGUCAGUUCGUGCUGUGAGGUGUAGAAUUAAGUUUCAUAACGAACGAAACUCCUAAUAGUAGUUUUAAUUAUUUGUAUUUUUAUAUUGUGGUAUUAAUAUGUAAUAUUAUUGAACCAAAACUUAAUAUUGCGCAUAGUAUUAUUACUGAAUAUGUAUAUAAUUUUUUUCUACUAUAUGACUUUGCUUCAAUUUUUUUUUUUGGGGUGAUGGAGGAGGAAAGGGCUGAAGUCAAGUCAUUAUGGUCCAUGUAUUUUGGGCUACACACGUGUUACAUAGGCGAAAACAAUGGGUCGCGAUAAAGAAAUUUGUAGCAAAUCUCUAAAAAUCGUCUAAGUUCAGAUUGUUUUCUGAAACUCGAAAACAUGAAGAUGAAAUCGUUAGUAAUCGUAAAUUAGUACGUUACGGUGAAUGACAAACCAAAUUUUGCACACACCGCCCAUCACGCUCUGAGAGUCGGUUUUUAAUUAGUAACUCUAUAGGAAACUGUUAUCUAAACUAACCUUUAAAGUACGUUUAUAUUUAAAUUAGUACGAUU
rnacentral:rRNA from 1 species